rnacentral:rRNA from 1 species
CAAUAGCGUAUACUAAUGUUGUUGCAGUUAAAAAGCUCGUAGUUGAACUUCUGGUAGGAGUGUCCCGGCCUUUUUGUUUUUACAAAUUGUGUGCUGUGUGACAUCUCUGGCCAUCCUUCUUCUUUGUUUAAAGAAGAUCUUUCACUGUAAAAAAAUUAGGGUGUUCAAAGCAAAAGUUUCUUUGGAAUAUAUUAGUAUGGGAUGAUAAGAUAGGCUCUAGAUGCUAUUUUGUUGGUUUGCACAUUUAGAGAAUGAUUAACAGGGACAGUUGGGGGUAUUCGUAUUUACAUGUCAGAGGUGAAAUUCUUGGAUUUUGGAAAGACGAACUACUGCGAAAGCAUUUACCAAGGAUGUUUUCAUUAA